CUGUGACCUUCAAGGAUAUAGCUGUAGACUUCACCCAGGAAGAAUGGGCCCUGCUGGACACAUCCCAGAGAAAGCUGUACAGAGAUGUGAUGCUGGAGAACAUCAGUCAUCUGGUCUCUGUGGGGUAUCAUCUCUGCAAAUCAGAUGUGAUUUCCCAGUUGGAACAAGGAGUGGAGCUGUGGAGGGAGGAAGAAGGAUUUCUCCAAGGCCUGAAUCCAGACAGGAAAAGUGGCCUUAAGAGACAAGAAGACAUCUGCAGAAAGGACCCAUCUAAUUGCAUGUCAAUGACAUGAUUGUGGUCACCCUAUCAUUGAAUCCUGCUGUUUUGAAAUCUGAGGGUUCCUACUGUUUUGAAAUCUGAGGGUUCCCA